AACGAGCGAGACCCACGCCAACACGUUGCCAGCUCGUCCUCCGGGAUGGUGGGGACGACUGUUGGGACCGCCUCGUGCUAAAGAGGAGGAAGGAAUGGGCAACGGUAGGUCAGCAUGCCCCGAAUUAUCUGGGCUACACGCGGGCUACAAUGGGUGGGACAAUGGGUAUCGACACCGAAAGGUGAAGGCAAUCUCCUAAACCCAUCCGUAGUUCGGAUUGUGGGCUGCAACUCGCCCACAUGAAGCUGGAAUCUGUAGUAAUCGUGUCUCAAAAUGGCACGGUGAAUAUGUCCCUGCUCCUU
rnacentral:rRNA from 1 species